rnacentral:rRNA from 1 species
AUUGAACGCUGGCGGCAGGCCUAACACAUGCAAGUCGAACGAGUGGCGGACGGGUGAGUAAUGUCUGGGAAACUGCCUGAUGGAGGGGGAUAACUACUGGAAACGGUAGCUAAUACCGCAUACCAUCGUCUGUGCCCAGAUGGGAUUAGCUAGUAGGUGGGGUAACGGCUCACCAAGGCGACGAUCAGUAGCGGGUCUGAGAGGAUGAACAGCCACACUGGAACUGAGACACGGUCCAGACUCCUACGGGAGGCAGCAGUGGGGAAUUGUGGACAAUGGGCGCAAGCCUGAUCCAGCCAGGCCGCGUGUCUGAAGAAGGCCUUCGGGUUGUAAAGGACUUUUGUUAGGGAAGCGGUACCUACAGAAUAAGCACCGGCUAACUACGUGCCAGCAGCCGCGGUAAUUC